UACGUAGGGGGCGAGCGUUGUCCGGAUUUAUUGGGCGUAAAGAGCGUGUAGGCGGCUUGGUAGGUCUCGCGUCAAAACCUGAGGCUCAACCUCAGUUCGCGUGGGAAACCACCUAGCUAGAGUCCGGAAGAGGAGAACGGAAUUCCCAGUGUAGCGGUGAAAUGCGCAGAUAUUGGGAAGAACACCAGUGGCGAAGGCGGUUCUCUGGGCCGAUAUUGACGCUGAGGAGCGAAAGCGUGGGGAGCAAACAGG
rnacentral:rRNA from 1 species